rnacentral:rRNA from 1 species
UACGUAGGGUGCGAGCGUUGUCCGGAAUUACUGGGCGUAAAGAGCUCGUAGGUGGUUUGUCGCGUCGUCUGUGAAAUUCCGGGGCUCAACUCCGGGCGUGCAGGCGAUACGGGCAUAACUUGAGUGCUGUAGGGGAGACUGGAAUUCCUGGUGUAGCGGUGAAAUGCGCAGAUAUCAGGAGGAACACCGAUGGCGAAGGCAGGUCUCUGGGCAGUAACUGACGCUGAGGAGCGAAAGCAUGGGUAGCGAA